ACCCUCCAGAUUCCUUAGCCAUUCGAUCUAAACAUUGGUCUGAGUGGGAAUAGGAGGACAAGUAACGUGAAACUGACUUGGAUUCUUUUGUGACAUACAAGUUGGUAAUAAACAAAA
rnacentral:snoRNA from 1 species